GACGAACGCUGGCGGCGUGCUUAACACAUGCAAGUGGAGCGACGAACCAGGCUUCGGCCUGGGGCAAAGCCGCGAACGGGUGAGUAACACGUGGGUAACCUGCCCCGAUGACCGGGACAACCCGAGGAAACUCGGGCUAAUACCGGAUGUGGUCACCUCACAUAAGUGGGAUGACUAAAGAUAGCUUCGGCCUUCGCAUCGGGAUGGGCCCGCGGCGCAUUAGCUUGUUGGUGGGGUAACGGCCUACCAAGGCUUCGAUGCGUAGCUGGUCUGAGAGGACGAUCAGCCACACUGGGACUGAGACACGGCCCAGACUCCUACGGGAGGCAGCAGUGGGGAAUCUUGCGCAAUGCGCGAAAGCGUGACGCAGCAACGCCGCGUGGGGAAGAAGGCCUCGGUCGUAACCCUUAC
rnacentral:rRNA from 1 species